AGAAAGAAUAUAUCUUAAGUUUUCAGUUUUGACCACGUUUGGUCACCGAAAGCUCUACCGAACUGUAAUCUCUAGCACAUAGCAGUCGGAUUUUAUUUUUCACCUUCCGGAUAUCAGAAAUGACAUGAAACUUUAAAUCUAACCUCAUAAAAAUAAUUUUGACAUAUUCUCUAGUUUUCGUAAUUUUCUGACACUGUGCAUUUUCUGCUAAAAUAUCAACUCCGUUUCCAACAGAAAAUUCUAAAUCUUCUAUUUUCGUUCCGAUUUCAGCACAAGUCAUUUCUGACUUAUAUUUUAUUUCUCUAAAUCCAAUAAAAAUAGUGUUUCACACUAUUUUUAUUUAUUUUUAUUUUUAUACCAAAAUCUGGUAUGUUACAGUAGCGGUAGUUAUAUAUUCUGUUAUUAUUUCUGCUUCCUUUCAGUUUAUUGCUACUGUAUUUAGUAUAUCUGCUCAUGACCUUAUUGAUCUCUUCUUAUACCGGUGUGUACUCCUCGCCUUCGUCAGCUUGCGGUACCCAUUGGGAGGGGGAGACAUGUUUACAUGUUCUCAUCCCCCACCAUUUUUCAGGUAUUGCGGACGGUGAGGGUUGAGACGAGAUGUGAGACACGUUCGUAGCGGUUGAUAGAGCUUCCGACCCGGUUUGAUUGGUUUAGUUGUUACCCUCUUUAUUUCUGAUGAUAUGACUUAGAUAUUAU
rnacentral:lncRNA from 1 species